rnacentral:misc_RNA from 1 species
GCCACCCCUCCGGGGGAAGCUGGCUUGGUGUUGGGGACCGGCCCCCCGCGGCCGCCCCCGAAAUGCAGUGGCGACCUCGCCGCAGCCUCCCCUGCGUAGUAGCACAACCUCGCACCGGAGCGCGGAGACGGUCACGCCGUGAAACGCCCAACUUCCUUAGAGUUGACCUCGGAUCAGGUAGGAAUACCCGCUGAACUUAA